GGGGGAUCAGGGAUGGAUAGGGGGCUGAAUGUGAAAGAGGAAUGAAAAUAAAUGGUACAAAAUGUAACAGUGUUCACCAAGUGCAGGAUGCACCUGGCUGUGCAUUUCUGGGUGACUGACACAUGUCCUAAAGGCAAGGGAUUUCCAGGAGAAAAAACUGGCAGAUUGGAGUGUAUGAAAAUGUCAUUUUGUAAACAUCCCCC
rnacentral:lncRNA from 12 species